rnacentral:rRNA from 1 species
AUGGAGUCGCAGCUGCAGGGCAAUGGAGAGCAGGCCACGGACGCGCGCUACCACGACGCCGCGUCGGCGGCGCCGGCCAGCAAUGCGCCGCUGGCCAUAGCGGUGGUCCCGGCGGCCGCGCACGGGCCCAUCGUGCCGAAGCCGGAGCAGGCGCCGGGGGAGUUCCUGGGCGGGCUCGCCGUGGCGCUCCCGCCGCGGAACCGCGACCGGCACACCAAGGUCGAGGGCCGCGGGCGGCGCAUCCGCAUGGCGGCGCCCUGCGCGGCGAGGGUCGCACAGCUCACGCGCGAGCUCGGCCACAAGACCGACGGCGACACCAUCCGCUGGCUCCUGCAGCAGUCGGAGCCGGCCAUCGUCGCCGCCACGGGCACGGGGACGGUGCCCGCGAUCGCCACCACCGUCGACGGCGUGCUCCGCAUCCCCACCGAGUCGCCCUCCGCCGCGGGGGCCGACGGCGCGGGGCCGGCAUCCAAGCGGCGCAAGCUCCAGCCGACGCGCGCGGCGGGCGGCGCGGGGCCGCUCGUCGCGGCGCCCCCUGCGGCCUACUACCCCGUCGCGGCCGACCCCCUCCUGCAAGGCAACGGCGGCGGCGGCGCGAUUUCGGUGUCCAGCGGCCUCGCCCCCGUCUCGGCCGCGGCAGCGCCCGCGGGAGGCCACAUCCCGUUCUUCGCCCUACAGGUGCCGGCAUCCGGGGACGGGAAGCAGAUGGUUCCCCAGGCAGCCAUGUGGAUGGUUCAGCAGCCGCCCGCCGCCGGAGGCGCGCCCAACCACCCGACGCACUACUGGGCGUUCCAAUCCAACCCUGCAGAAUUCAACAACUUCCCCGGCGCACAGGCCAUCAACGUCGCCAACUACCAGCAGCAGCCGUGCUACAGCCCGAUGCAGUUCGUCGCCGCGGGCGGGGAGCCACAGGACCAGCAAGAAGCCGGUGACCAGUGCGCGGACGCCGACGACCAGAUCCAGGGCCUGGAGGACGACUACGACGGCGAGGCGUUGACUGACUCCAGCUCCGAAGAGUAG